rnacentral:rRNA from 2 species
CUGACUGACCGAUAGUGAACCAGUACCGUGAGGGAAAGGCGAAAAGAACCCCUGUGAGGGGAGUGAAAUAGAACCUGAAACCGUGUACGUACAAGCAGUAGGAGCAGGCUUUGUCCUGUGACUGCGUACCUUUUGUAUAAUGGGUCAGCGACUUAUAUUCAGUGGCAAGGUUAACCAUCUAGGGGAGCCGUAGGGAAACCGAGUCUUAACUGGGCGUUCAG